rnacentral:rRNA from 1 species
UACGUAGGUGGCAAGCGUUGUCCGGAUUUACUGGGCGUAAAGAGCGCGCAGGCGGUCGUACAAGUCGCGUGUGAAAGCCCCCGGCUCAACUGGGGAGGGUCACGCGAUACUGUUCGACUCGAAGGCAGGAGAGGGAAGCAGAAUUCCCGGUGUAUUGGUGAAAUGCGUAGAUAUCGGGAGGAAUACCAGUGGCGAAGGCGGCUUCCUGGCCUGUUCUUGACGCUGAGGCGCGAAAGCUAGGGUAGCAAACGGG